UCCUGAGGGUGAGGGCAGCAAGGAGAGGUGAGGACAGGGAGAGAACCAUAGACCCCCUCCCCGAGGGCAGCAAGGAGAGGUGAGGACAGGGAGAGAACCAUAGACCCCCUCCUCCCCGAGGGCAACAAGGAGAGGUGAGGACAGGGAGAGAACCAUAGACCCCCUCCCCGAGGGCAGCAAGGAGAGGUGAGGACAGGGAGAGAACCAUAGACCCCCUUCCAGAGGGCAGCAAGGAGAGGUGAGGACAGGGAGAGAACCAUAGACCCCCUCCCCAAGGGCAGCAAGGAGAGGUGAGGACAGGGAGAGAACCAUAGACCCCCUCCCCGAGGGCAGCAAGGAGAGGUGAGGACAGGGAGAGAACCAUAGACCCCCUCCCCGAGGGCAGCAAGGAGAGGUGAGGACAGAGGGGGACCAUAGACCCCCUCCCCGGGGGCAGCAAGGAGAGGUGAGGACAGGGAGAGAACCAUAGACCCCCUCCCCGAGGGCAGCAAGGAGAGGUGAGGACAGGGAGAGAACCAUAGACCCCCUCCCCGAGGGCAGCAAGGAGAGGUGAGGACAGAGGGGGACCAUAGACCCCCUCCCCGAGGGCAGCAAGGAGAGGUGAGGACAGGGAGAGAACCAUAGACCCCCUCCCCGAGGGCAGCAAGGAGAGGUGAGGACAGGGAGAGAACCAUAGACCCCCUCCUCCCCGAGGGCAGCAAGGAGAGGUGAGGACAGGGAGAGAACCAUAGACCCCCUCCCCAAGGGCAGCAAGGAGAGGUGAGGACAGGGAGAGAACCAUAGACCCCCUCCCCAAGGGCAGCAAGGAGAGGUGAGGACAGGGAGAGAACCAUAGACCCCCUCCCCGAGGGCAGCAAGGAGAGGUGAGGACAGGGAGAGAACCAUAGACCCCCUCCCCAAGGGCAGCAAGGAGAGGUGAGGACAGGGAGAGAACCAUAGACCCCCUCCCCGAGGGCAGCAAGGAGAGGUGAGGACAGGGAGAGAACCAUAGACCCCCUCCCCAAGGGCAGCAAGGAGAGGUGAGGACAGGGAGAGAACCAUAGACCCCCUCCCCAAGGGCAGCAAGGAGAGGUGAGGACAGGGAGAGAACCAUAGACCCCCUCCCCAAGGGCAGCAAGGAGAGGUGAGGACAGGGAGAGAACCAUAGACCCCCUCCCCAAGGGCAGCAAGGAGAGGUGAGGACAGGGAGAGAACCAUAGACCCCCUCCCCAAGGGCAGCAAGGAGAGGUGAGGACAGGGAGAGAACCAUAGACCCCCUCCCCGAGGGCAGCAAGGAGAGGUGAGGACAGGGAGAGAACCAUAGACCCCCUCCUCCCCGAGGGCAACAAGGAGAGGUGAGGACAGGGAGAGAACCAUAGACCCCCUCCCCGAGGGCAGCAAGGAGAGGUGAGGACAGGGAGAGAACCAUAGACCCCCUCCCCAAGGGCAGCAAGGAGAGGUGAGGACAGGGAGAGAACCAUAGACCCCCUCCCCAAGGGCAGCAAGGAGAGGUGAGGACAGGGAGAGGACCAUAGACCCCCUCCCCGAGGGCAGCAAGGAGAGGUGA